AUGAUCUCAUGGUUCAUCAGUUUGAGCCUCACAUUGGGAUUCCCACUGUCAGUGCACAGCCCACUUGGGAUUCUCUCUGUCCAUCUCAAAAUAAAUAAACUUAAAAAAAAAAAUUCUAGGAGAAAACUGAAAGGGAGAAGGCAACACUGAGCAGCAGCUCUCAUAAGGAAUAAAAUCUGGGUAUAAGAUGGGCAACAUGGGGUACAGAGAAAUUAUAGAACUUUCCUAAGAUCAUACGACUACACAGUCAGCCAGAGGAAUUUGUUCUUUUCUGGAGUGUGGAUGGCCCUACCCCCACCUGAUCAGUGAUAAGCUCUGCAUGUAUUGCCACCACCUAUUCCUGUACUCAGUGGUGGACAGGGUUUAACCAAUUACAGAACUUCCAGUGAACUCAAAAACUGCAUCAGAAUUCUUUAACACUUAGCUCCAGAAAGCCACUGCCAGCCAGAUUUACAAGGUGAAAACUAUGUGAUACUGUCUUAAUCCCUUCUUUCAAUUUAUCCAGUCAAAACAAUCAAAGGAGAACACUUAGUAAGUGAUUAGAAUGCAUCUACCAUAUGACUCUACUUAUAUGUGGAAUGAAACAAAACAGAUGAACACAGGGGAAGGGAAGGAAAAAUUAAAUAAUAUAAAACCAGAGAG